rnacentral:lncRNA from 10 species
UGCCACACACUAAACACGGAUUCAGCAAACCUUCCACUGUGGCAUGGUCGAGAACCCCAGGCUAAGGAUUGACAGAGAUUCUGAAUUUGCAAACCAGAAAGAGCAGCACUUCAUCACGGCUUCAAGAAGACCCCUGGGACGGGAGGGCCUUCUGCUUCUCUUUCUUCCUCUCUCUUUUCAGAUUCACCCAGAUGCCUUGGAUAAUUUGUUUUGGAAAACAUAUAUUGAAGAUAUCAGAGCCACAGUAUGACAGAAGACUAGGUCCCAGAAUCACAACUGGAAGGAAAGUCAUGCACUAAUGAAGAAAACAAUUCUUAAGGCUUAUAUGAGCUGAAAACAAACUUCUGUCAUGUUGCUGCCUUUAUCCAUUUUUAAAAGAUGUUUGUCAUCAGUAGUGCUACUCUAAUAAAAUACAUCAUGAGCACAAUAACUUAAACUGGUCUCAUUAUAAAUCCUAGAUCUCCUAUCAUCACAGUUUAAAUCCAGACUACUGGUGUGGAAAGGUAUAUAAAUGCCUUCCAGAAUCUGAAAGGCAUAAUUUUGUUCACUUAUUUCAGGUUUUACUAAGGAUUCCAUACCCUUGGCUUCUGUUGAAUUAUUUC